rnacentral:rRNA from 1 species
GACGAACGCUGGCGGCGCGCUUAACACAUGCAAGUCGAACGGAAAGGCCUGCUUUCCCUUGUGGAUUGCGGGUACUCGAGUGGCGAACGGGUGAGUAACACGUGAGUGAUCUGCCCCCAACUUGGGUAUAAGCCUGGGAAACUGGGUCUAAUUCCCGAUAGGACUGCAGGGUGGUGCCUGUUGUGGAAAACGAUUUUCUAGUGGUUGGGUGUUAGCUCGCGGCCUAUCAGCUUGUUGGUGGGGUAAUGGCCUACCAAGGCGGCGACGGGUAGCCGGCCUGAGAGGGUGGACGGCCACAUUGGGACUGAGAGACGGCCCAGACUCCUACGGGAGGCAGCAGUGGGGAAGAGUGCACAAUGGGCGGAAGCCUGAGGCAGCGACGCCGCGUGGGGGAUGACGGCCUUCGGGUUGUAAACUCCUUUCGACCGCGAGGAAGCCACCUGGUUGGAAGGGUGGUGACGGUAGUGGUAGAAGAAGCACCGGCUAACUACGUG